AAUGAACGUUGGCGGCGUGGAUUAGGCAUGCAAGUCGCGCGACAAGGAACCUUCGGGUUCUGGAGGAGCGGCAAACGGGGUAGUAAGGCAUCGGAACGUACCCUCUUGUUGGGAAUAGCCGCGGGAAACUGCGAGUAAUGCCCAAUAAUCCCUACGGGGCAAAGGUCCGCCGCAGGAGGAGCGGCCGAUGUGAUACCAGCUAGUUGGUGAGGUAAUGGCUCACCAAGGCUUAGACGUCUAGGGGGUGUGAGAGCAUGGGCCCCCACCACUGGGACGUGAGAUACUGCCCACGACACCUACGGGUGGGCUGCAGUCGAGAAUCUUCGGCGAAUAGGGCGGCAAG
rnacentral:rRNA from 1 species